rnacentral:sRNA from 1 species
UACUUGUGCAGGGUUGAUAAAAUGUACAUGGGUAUCAAUUCCACCGGCAGUUACAAUCAUCCCUUCACCAGCUAUAAUUUCCGUCGAGGCACCAAUUAUAAUAUCUACAUUAUCCAUCACAAGCGGAUUUCCCGCUUUGCCAAUUCCGAAAAUUUUACCAUCGCGAAUUCCAAUAUCAGCCUUGUAAAUUCCAGUGUAAUCCAGAAUUACCGCAUUGGUGAUUACGACAUCGGGAACACCUUCCUCGCGUGUAACUAGCGGAUGCUGCCCCAUUCCAUCACGAA